UACAGAGGUGGCAAGCGUUGUUCGGAAUUACUGGGCGUAAAGGGCGCGUAGGCGGUCUUUUAAGUUCCGUGUGAAAUCCCUCGGCUCAACUGGGGAACGGCACGGGAAACUGGGAGGCUUGAGUUCGGGAGAGGGAAGCGGAAUUCCUGGUGUAGCGGUGAAAUGCGUAGAUAUCAGGAGGAACACCGGUGGCGAAGGCGGCUUUCUGGACAGAUACCGACGCUGAGGCACGAAAGCGUGGGGAGCAAACAGG
rnacentral:rRNA from 1 species